rnacentral:rRNA from 1 species
AUUGAACGCUGGCGGCAGGCCUAACACAUGCAAGUCGAGCGGAUGAGAGGAGCUUGCUCUUUGAUUUAGCGGCGGACGGGUGAGUAAUGCCUAGGAAUCUGCCUGGUAGUGGGGGACAACGUUUCGAAAGGAACGCUAAUACCGCAUACGUCCUACGGGAGAAAGUGGGGGAUCUUCGGACCUCACGCUAUCAGAUGAGCCUAGGGCGGAUUAGCUAGUUGGUGAGGUAAUGGCUCACCAAGGCGACGAUCCGUAACUGGGCUGAGAGGAUGAUCAGUCACACUGGAACUGAGACACGGUCCAGACUCCUACGGGAGGCAGCAGUUGGGAAUAUUGGACAAUGGGCGCAAGCCUGAUCCAGCCAUGCCGCGUGUGUGAAGAAGGUCUUCGGAUUGUAAAGCACUUUAAGUUGGGAGGAAGGUCAGUAGCUUAAUACGUUGCUGAUUUGACGUUACCGACAGAAUAAGCACCGGCUAACUCUGUGCCAGCCGCCGCCGUAACAC